rnacentral:rRNA from 1 species
GUGAGGGAAAGUUGAAAAGAACUUUGAAGAGAGAGUUCAAGAGUACGUGAAACCGUUCAGGGGUAAACCUAAGAAACCCAAAAGAUCGAACGGGGAGAUUCAUCGUCAGCGGCGCUGGCUUCGCGUCGGUGGGCGAUGUCCCGCGGUGCCGAUAACCUCGGCCCUAGCGCGGGCACGCUACCGUGCGCAGAUGUCCGGCGUCCGUCGUCGUGCACUUCUCACCUAGUAGGAUGUCGCGACCCGCUGGGUGUCGGUCUACGGCCCGGGUGGUAAGACUGACGCGUCGCCGGUAAAACGGCACGCGGCAAACCCCCGGUCGCCCGGCCGGCUGCCCGGCGGUAUGCGAAACGGUACCAGGCCGCGCCACGCGCGCGUCGAGCCCGUCGCAAGCGAGCGCCAYUGCACCCGGAGGUACGGACCCAGCGCCGUCCCCGGUCCUGGUCCGCUGUUAGCUGUACGGUGUAACCUUCGACAGGCCUUGCCCUCGCGGCCCCGCGCCGCGAGUCUACCGGUCGGCGACGCUACUGCUUUGGAUACUCUUAGGACCCGUCUU